ACACGUGAAAUUCCGUCGGAAUCCGGGAGGACCAUCUCCCAAGGCUAAAUACUCCCUAGUGACCGAUAGUGAACCAGUACCGUGAGGGAAAGGUGAAAAGCACCCCGGAAGGGGAGUGAAACAGUUCCUGAAACCGUGUGCCUACAAGUAGUUAGAGCCCGUUAAUGGGUGAUAGCGUGCCUUUUGUAGAAUGAACCGGCGAGUUACGAUUUGUUGCAAGGUUAAGCGGAAAAAGCGGAGCCGUAGCGAAAGCGAGUCUGAAUAGGGCGCAUAAGUAACAGGUCGUAGACCCGAAACCAGGUGAUCUACCCAUGUCCAGGAUGAAGGUAAGGUAAUACUUACUGGAGGUCCGAACCCACGCACGUUGAAAAGUGCGGGGAUGAGGUGUGGGUAGCGGAGAAAUUCCAAUCGAACUUGGAGAUAGCUGGUUCUCUCCGAAAUAGCUUUAGGGCUAGCCUCGAGGUAAAGAGUCAUGGAGGUAGAGCACUGUUUGGACUAGGGGCCCUUCUCGGGUUACCGAAUUCAGAUAAACUCCGAAUGCCAUGUACUUAUACUCGGGAGUCAGACUGCGAGUGAUAAGAUCCGUAGUCGAAAGGGAAACAGCCCAGACCACCAGUUAAGGUCCCCAAAUAUAUGUUAAGUGGAAAAGGAUGUGGGGUUGCUUAGACAACCAGGAUGUUGGCUUAGAAGCAGCCACCAUUGAAAGAGUGCGUAAUAGCUCACUGGUCGAGUGACCCCGCGCCGAAAAUGUACCGGGGCUAAACAUAUUACCGAAACUGUGGAUGAACCUCUUUAGAGGUUCGUGGUAGGAGAGCGUUCUAAGGGCGGUGAAGUCAGACCGGAAGGACUGGUGGAGCGCUUAGAAGUGAGAAUGCCGGUAUGAGUAGCGAAAGAAGGGUGAGAAUCCCUUCCACCGAAUAUCUAAGGUUUCCUGAGGAAGGCUCGUCCGCUC
rnacentral:rRNA from 1 species